CAUAUGCCAUGGUGUGUAGAUCCAUAUGCCAUGGUGUGUAGACCCAUAUGCCAUGGUGUGUAGAUCCAUAUGCCAUGGUGUGU
ensembl:miRNA Mir5123 microRNA 5123